rnacentral:lncRNA from 1 species
AAGCAAUGUCAUGUUUGUAAAGCCUGAGUCAGAACCUCCACCACCCACCAAAUAAAAAGCACUUUUCCUCCAGCUUUGUUUCAAGGUUUGCCACAAAAAUAAAAGGAACGUGGUGGAGGGGAAGAGAAACCACCAAACUUCAGGCAUCUUUUCAUUUCCAGUUGGGUGGCAAAUGCUACAUCUCUUUUGGCUUCUGGUUUUCUCAGCACCAACUCCCAUCAGUCAUAGUCGUUAGAGCUGCCUUGACUCUCACGCAAUCCUGGACAUUUAAUGUUAUAUUUUAGUUGGUUUUGUCCAAGAGGAAAUGUCUCUUAAACAAAAGCGACAAAUCAGGAAGCAACUGUGAAAGUAAGUCACAGACUCGGUUGGAGCAGAAGUAGUUCCCAGAAUGCUGGCUUCUAGCAGUGUUGAUUUUUCUGUCCAAACAAUGCAAAGCACACAAGCUGGCAGCAAGGAUUCAAGGAAGGAAAAAAAAUAAAUACACCGGACAAAAGGACACAGCCAAGGAGUGCAGCUUGCUUAUGUUAGCACAAAGCGGAAACAAUCUAAAUACAACUGUUAUAAAAAUAGUUAAUAACUUAUGAUACAGCAGCAUGCUGUGCAGCAGUAAAGAAUGAAGUUGAUCUAUAAUUCAGUGACACAAAAUUCUUCAAGACUUUACGCAAUUUUUUAAAAAAGGCAAGUUGCA